GACGAACGCUGGCGGCGUGCCUAACACAUGCAAGUCGAGGGGUGAUUUCGGUCAUCACUGGCGCACGGGUGAGUAACGCGUAGAUCAUCUGCCCCUAUCACUGACAUAACAGUUCUAACGGACUGCUAAUAUCAGAUGAGGUGAGCAAUCAUCAAAGUUUCGACGGAUAGGGAUGAGUCUGCGUCUGAUUAGGUAGUUGGUGAGGUAACGGCUCACCAAGCCGACGAUCAGUAACUGGUCUGAGAGGACGAACAGUCACACUGGAACUGAGACACGGUCCAGACUCCUAUGGGAGGCAGCAGUGAGGAAUAUUGCACAAUGGGAGGAAUCCUGAUGCAGCGACGCCGCGUGCGGGAUGAAGGGGCUUAGCCUCGUAAACCGCUGUCGGAGGGGACGAAUGGUACAUUUGAUGUACUGAGACGGUACCCUCAAAGGAAGGAUCGGCUAACUACGUGCCAGCAGCCGCGGUAAUC
rnacentral:rRNA from 1 species